GCAACCGCGAAAGCGGGGGGCGACGAAGCGGAAGCGAGAAUGUCGGCUUGAGUAACGAAAACAUUGGUGAGAAUCCAAUGCCCCGAAAACCCAAGGUUUCCUCCGCAAGGUUCGUCCACGGAGGGUGAGUCAGGGCCUAAGAUCAGGCCGAAAGGCGUAGUCGAUGGACAACAGGUCAAUAUUCCUGUACUACCCCUUGUUGGUACGAGGACGGAGGAGGCUA
rnacentral:ncRNA from 1 species